UUCGGCGAUCAUAGCGAGGGGGGCACACCCGUUCCCAUUCCGAACACGGAAGUUAAGUCCCUUUGCGCCGAUGGUACUGCACAGGUCGCUGUGUGGGAGAGUAGGUAAUCGCCGGAU
rnacentral:rRNA from 1 species